AGACCCGAAACCCGGUGAUCUAGCCAUGGGCAGGUUGAAGGUUGGGUAACACUAACUGGAGGACCGAACCGACUAAUGUUGAAAAAUUAGCGGAUGACCUGUGGCUGGGGGUGAAAGGCCAAUCAAACCGGGAGAUAGCUGGUUCUCCCCGAAAGCUAUUUAGGUAGCGCCUCGUGAAUUCAUCUCCGGGGGUAGAGCACUGUUUCGGCUAGGGGGCCAUCCCGGCUUACCAACCCGAUGCAAACUGCGAAUACCGGAGAAUGUUAUCACGGGAGACACACGGCGGGUGCUAACGUCCGUCGUGAAGAGGGAAACAACCCAGACCGCCAGCUAAGGUCCCAAAGUCAUGGUUAAGUGGGAAACGAUGUGGGAAGGCCCAGACAGCCAGGAUGUUGGCUUAGAAGCAGCCAUCAUUUAAAGAAAGCGUAAUAGCUCACUGGUCGAGUCGGCCUGCGCGGAAGAUGUAACGGGGCUAAACCAUGCACCGAAGCUGCGGCAGCGACACUCAGGUGUUGUUGGGUAGGGGAGCGUUCUGUAAGCCUGCGAAGGUGGCCUGUGAGGGUUGCUGGAGGUAUCAGAAGUGCGAAUGCUGACAUAAGUAACGAUAAAGCGGGUGAAAAGCCCGCUCGCCGGAAGACCAAGGGUUCCUGUCCAACGUUAAUCGGGGCAGGGUGAGUCGACCCCUAAGGCGAGGCCGAAAGGCGUAGUCGAUGGGAAACGGGUUAAUAUUCCCGUACUUGGUGUUACUGCGAAGGGGGGACGGAGAAGGCUAUGUUGGCCGGGCGACGGUUGUCCCGGUUUAAGCGUGUAGGUGUGUGUUCCAGGUAAAUCCGGUUCACUUUAACACUGAGGCGUGAUGACGAGGCACUACGGUGCUGAAGCAACAAAUGCCCUGCUUCCAGGAAAAGCCUCUAAGCAUCAGGUAACAUCAAAUCGUACCCCAAACCGACACAGGUGGUCAGGUAGAGAAUACCAAGGCGCUUGAGAGAACUCGGGUGAAGGAACUAGGCAAAAUGGUGCCGUAACUUCGGGAGAAGGCACGCUGACAUGUAGGUGAAGUGAUUUACUCAUGGAGCUGAAGUCAGUCGAAGAUACCAGCUGGCUGCAACUGUUUAUUAAAAACACAGCACUGUGCAAACACGAAAGUGGACGUAUACGGUGUGACGCCUGCCCGGUGCCGGAAGGUUAAUUGAUGGGGUCAGCGCAAGCGAAGCUCCUGAUCGAAGCCCCGGUAAACGGCGGCCGUAACUAUAACGGUCCUAAGGUAGCGAAAUUCCUUGUCGGGUAAGUUCCGACCUGCACGAAUGGCGUAAUGAUGGCCAGGCUGUCUCCACCCGAGACUCAGUGAAAUUGAACUCGCUGUGAAGAUGCAGUGUACCCGCGGCAAGACGGAAAGACCCCGUGAACCUUUACUAUAGCUUGACACUGAACAUUGAGCCUUGAUGUGUAGGAUAGGUGGGAGGCUUUGAAGCGUGGACGCCAGUCUGCGUGGAGCCGACCUUGAAAUACCACCCUUUAAUGUUUGAUGUUCUAACGUGGACCCGU
rnacentral:rRNA from 2 species